GUCGAGAAUUUUUCACAAUGGGCGAAAGCCUGAUGGAGCGACGCCGCGUGGGGGAUGAAGGGCUUCGGCUCGUAAACCCCUGUCAUUCGAGAACAAACCCUGCGACCUAAUAAGUCGCGGGCUGAUAGUAUCGGAAGAGGAAGGGACGGCUAACUCUGUGCCAGCAGCCGCGGUAAUACAGAGGUCCCAAGCGUUGUUCGGAUUUACUGGGCGUAAAGGGUGCGUAGGCGGUGAGGAAAGUUUGAGGUGAAAUCUCCAAGCUCAACUUGGAAAUUGCCUUGAAGACUUCCUUGCUUGAGGGUCGCAGAGGAGACUGGAAUUCUCGGUGUAGCAGUGAAAUGCGUAGAUAUCGAGAGGAACACCAGUGGCGAAAGCGGGUCUCUGGGCGAAUCCUGACGCUGAGGCACGAAAGCCAGGGGAGCAAACGGGAUUAGAAACCCGUGUAGUCC
rnacentral:rRNA from 1 species